AUAGUAAUUAGUAUUACUUUAUGUAUAUAUUUAUGUCUAUAUUAUUGUCUAUAUAUGGCUCUUUUGCGUACGUUAUGCGGCUGAGCAUUAAUCUUUAUACUACGAUCGCGAUUCCCGCCUGGUUCAUCACUUGCAAGUGGUAGUAUUACACGGUAAACGUGGCAAAUAGUUGCUAGACUACCUGAAGCACAUAGGCCUAGACAUAGAUUUUUGCCUUCUCACACACAACUGAGUAGGUCUUAAAAGUGUGUAAAUUUCCGUUGUCGAAUAUUCCUGUCCAUCUACUAACACUUAUUAAUAAUAACUGAAGCACUUAGUCUUAUAGUGAUAUGGAUAGCUAACUAGAAUGUCUUUCAAAAAUAAGUAACAUUAACAAAACGUUACUGUGUAACGGAGUAAACAAUUACACAAUACUGCAGUACUAGUAUAAACUAUUAUGCAAAGAUGAACAGUCACAAUACUCAAUACUCAAUAGGCGCG